rnacentral:rRNA from 1 species
AGCAGCCGCGGUAAUUCCAGCUCCAAUAGCGUAUAUUAAAGUUGUUGCAGUUAAAAAGCUCGUAGUUGAAUUUCGGGGUCAGCAAGUUGGUCGUGCCACUGGUAUGUACUGGCUUUGCUGAUUCCUCCUUCUUGUAGAACCGUAAUGCCAUUAAGUUGGUGUUGCGGGAAGACAGGACUGUUACUUUGAAAAAAUUAGAGUGUUUAAAGCAGGCUAACGCUUGAAUACAUUAGCAUGGAAUAAUGAAAUAGGACGACGAUCCUAUUUUGUUGGUUUCUAGGAUUGACGUAAUGAUUAAUAGGGAUAGUUGGGGGCAUUAGUAUUCAAUUGUCAGAGGUGAAAUUCUUGGAUUUAUUGAAGACUGACUACUGCGAAAGCAUUUGCCAAGGAUGUUUUCAUUAAUCAAGAACGAAAGUUAGGGGAUCGAAGACGAUCAGAUACCGUCGUAGUCUUAACCAUAAACUAUGCCGACUAGGGAUCGGAUGAUGUUAAUUUUAUAAUGACUCA